GCCUGGUUUGGUUCGUGGUUCAGAUUUGCUUGAGCCAUUGCCAGAAAUUUUCAAAAAAAGAGUAGAGGAGAGAGGCUGUAUUGUGGAAUGGGCACCCCAACAGGACUUGUUGGCACAUAGUGCAGUGGGAGGAUUUUGGACCCACUGUGGUUGGAAUUCAACAUUAGAGAGCAUUUGUGAAGGUGUUCCAAUGCUCUGCCGGCCAUUUAUUGGAGACCAACGCUUCAAUGUGAGGUAUGUGUGUCAUCUAUGGAGG
rnacentral:misc_RNA from 1 species